UACGAAGGGGGCUAGCGUUGCUCGGAUUUACUGGGCGUAAAGGGCGCGUAGGCGGACAGUUAAGUUGGGGGUGAAAGCCCGGGGCUCAACCUCGGAAUUGCCUUCAAUACUGGCUGUCUUGAGUGUGAGAGAGGUGUGUGGAACUCCGAGUGUAGAGGUGAAAUUCGUAGAUAUUCGGAAGAACACCAGUGGCGAAGGCGACACACUGGCUCGCUACUGACGCUGAGGCGCGAAAGCGUGGGGAGCAAACAGG
rnacentral:rRNA from 1 species